rnacentral:lncRNA from 1 species
CAAUUAAAAUUACAGCUCAAAAACAAAUUGAAGGUCCGAUGGCCCAAAGUGUUAAACACUUUCAGAAAAAACCUAAUCUCCCUAACCCUAGGUGCGCCGCACCUAGGUCUUCAACUACCCUCUGCCACCGCUCCUCUGACACCACCAAGUCCUCUACCACCGCCGUUGACCCCCUAGGCCUGCAAAAUAGAAAUAAAAAAAGAAACCAAAGAAGCAGAAAGCAAAGCAAAAAACAGUAGCAAAUAGUAUACUAAAGUUAUUGUAUUUGGCUAUAAAAGAGCCUCAAACAGACAAUGUAUUUUGGGGAGGACACAUAUAGAUAUCAAUCAAAAGCAAAGAAAUUUUAAAAAAAAGGUGACUUUUCCUUUCUUUUCGCAAGUUUAUUCCAGAUAUAGUGCCCAUAUAUAUAUACAUAUUUUAAAAAAUAAAAGGGAUUAUUCUCACCUUCUUCAAAUCGGGGAAAUCGGAACCGAAAAGUUCCUUUGGGUUUUUUCCGAUUUUCUGGAGUUUUCUUGUUGUUCUAAACUCGGAUUUGGGAUGAGGGAAGUGAGGAGAUUAAAAGGGGACUAGUUUCUUACCUUCGGUCACCGUGCGAGGUGGUCAUCGGCGACAGACGGAUGGCGGUUCGAUCGCCGGAAACAAAGGCCCAGAGAGAAACACCCAAGCUCCAUUUUUUUUGUUUAAAUCACAACUGAAAUGAGCUCCAUCAAAAAAUUUUGGUUUUAUAGAACGCAUAAAACGGCGUCGUUUAGGGCCGUUCCAGUGGUCUCAAAACGGCGUCGUUUAGCAACCCAGACCCGAGACCCGACCUUAACCCGCUUAGGAUCCGCGUGUUUUUGGACUGGGGGUCUAUUUGCGCCCUCAAUCCCUCCGCUUUGAGGCCGGUUUCAAUGUUGUCCCAUUUCCCUUUCUUUUCUUUUUAAUUUCACCCCUGAAAUUUCAUUAUUGUUUCAUUUUGGUCCUUGAUCGAACGGUGCGUUUUGGGUGGACGGGUUUAUUACCCAUUUGGUCCUCCUUGGUUACUUGCGCAUUCGCAUGGGUCCCUGUUUUAAUCCGAACAAUUUAUUUUAUUUGUAAAUUAUCCUUCUUAUUUUAAUUUGAUUUCAAUUAAGUUUUAUUUGGAUUCAUUUUUACAGCUUUUUUUAUUCGUGUUUAUUUAUUGGUAUUAAUUGUAUCAUUUGCAUCAUUCGUUUAUUUAUUCAUUGUAGUUUGAGAAAUUGUAAUUUCACAUUUUGUAUACUAUUUUAUAUAAAUGUUUUAUGCAUUAUUAUACAUAUAUAUAUACCUUAAAAUAUAAUUAACUUUAUUCUAUGUAUAUUAUUAGCACUAUAUUAUUCAUACAUAUAACUGUUUUUUUACAUAUUUUAAUAUAUAUAUUUGUUGAUUAAAAGGAAAUCACAUGUUUUAUACAUUAUUUAAAUUAUUAUUAUACGUAUACGUAAACAUUGGUACAUAUAUUGAAUCUAUAUACAUUACUAAACCCAUGUAUUUUAUACCCAUAGUUUUCUUUGUAUAUAUAAGUAUGCUUCUAAGUCUAUUAUAUAACUUAUGAUAAAACUAAUUUAAUCUUGUAUGCAUAUUCCUUUUAUUCUAAAUUUAUUUACAUAUAUAUAUAAUUUGGAAAUCAGAUAUGUUCUUAAAAUUAUUAUAUACUUUUAUUAUCUUUGCAUAUUUUUGAAUUCUCCCUUAUUGUAUAUAAGUUGUCAAUUUUAAACCAAUAUUCUUUAACACUUCGUAUAUUAUUCGAUUUAAAAAUAUUCACUCUAUAACAUAUAUCUUAAAUGAUUCCAUAUGUAUCUCUAGUUUUUUUUUAAUCUAUUAAUUCAUGGGUUAUAUAUUACGUGUUUAUCAUUAGUUUUUUUUAUUUUGUUUUAUACCAUAUUGUUCUUUUAAUUUUCAUUUUGUUUUGUAUAUCUCAUAUUGAUUAUGUUAUAUUGGGCUUUGUAUAUUAUCGUGGCAUAUUAUUGUGUGUAUUAUUUUGUUUGUUUUGUUGCCAUGUAUUGUUAUAUUAUUAUUUUCGUUCUGUAUUGUUAUAUCAAUUAUUCUCCAUACAUGAUUGAAAUUGGGUUAUAUUUUUUAAGGUUAGUUAUAUUUAAUUGUUUAUUUUAUUAGUCGAUUAUAUAAGGCUACAUUAUCUUCAUUCAUCGAGUAUUGUGUCUUAUGCGUGUAUUGUAUCAUGAUCAUUGUUUUCCUUUUGGUUUACGAAAUGUUGUUUUAUAAGGUCCAACUCUUCAAGAUUAAUUCUUCCAUUUUAUUUCAAACCAAAAUUAAUGCGUUUUAAGCUGGCUUUACAAUUGUUCGUUUGAAAAUUCCUUAAAACGAAGGCAAUAUUUGAUGCUUGGAAAUUCGGGGAAUCGUGCCCUAUCGUGCUGGGUUUCGAUUUCCCGUUUGUUCAAAAUAAUCGAAUAUUCCCUUAAAAUUUCACUCACGUUUUUCUAAAUUUUGAAACAAGGCAAUGUUAGAUAUUUGGAAAUUCGGGGAAUCGUGCUCUAUUGUGCUGUGUUUUGAUUUCUCGUUUAUUGAAAAUAAUCGAAUAUUCCUCUAGAAUUACAUUCGUAUUCUUUAAAUUCUAAAACAAAGCAAUGUUCAAUGUUUGCAAGUUCGAGGAAUCGUGCCCUACCAUGCUUGGUUUCAGUUUUUUGUUGGACUAAAUAAUUGGACAUCCUUUUGUAAUUUUCAAUGUAUAAAUUUUUGGAAGCCAAAAAUUUAUCGUGUUCUCAAGGGAAUAAAGUAUCGUGUCCUAUCGUGUUGGAUAUGAUGCUGCGUUCCUUUGAAACAAGAGAAUUUUGACGACCAAUUUGAGCUACUCAAAUUUUUUAAGGAACCAUAUUUCAAAAAUAGCUUCAAAUCUCAGACAUAAGGACAGUACUUAAUCAAUUUGGUACCAAUUUUGGGCGUGGUGAGGGUGCUAAUCCUUCCUCAUACGUAACCGGCUCCCGAACCCGUUUUCUCAAAUUUACGUAGGCCAAAAUUGAUUUAAAUGAAAUAAAAUAUUUUAUCAAGUGAACCAAUCACACCUAAACAAAAGAUUGGUGGAGACUUCAUGUUUUGUUUUCAAAAAGUCGAUCCCCAUUUUUAAACCCAAAAAAUGGUUUCGAUAGCUUGGCGACUGCACUGGGGAACAAUAAGAGAGUCAAGCCAUAAAAUUGAUUAUUUGCUGUCCUUUUGUCAAUGAAUUGAAAAUUUGUUUUGAAAAUCAUGAUUUCUUCAAUUGCAUUCGAUUGUAUGAUUGUUAUGGUUUGGGUAUUGUAGAAUAAUAUUGCAUUACAUUGCAUGACCGCUGUGGUCACACCUUUUAAGUGGGAGUAAGAAACUAUGCUUUCGUGAGGUUUUCACCUCCGCAUGGGCUAGUGGAUUACUCCUGGGAUACAUCCAUACCUAUGAUUUCGUGAGAUUUUCAUCUCCGUAUGGUCAUAGGGAAAUGUAUUCCCCUAAACCGAACUCGAUCCAUAUAAGCCUAUAAUAGGUGAGGAUCGAGGAAUCUGCUGGUUCGAGUACCCUUACUCUAUAACCAAACCACAUAUAGUGAACCCUAAGAGCCUUCUUUAGGUGGAGCUAGGUUAAACUGUAGUAGUCGCCCAUAUAUAUGCUUUGACUAUCUUUAUUGUGCUUGUAUUUUAUUAUUAAUAUUUGAUACUGACUUGUCUUGUUUUGAUUGUAUUUUGCAUAACAUUGCAUACUAAAGGAGGUGUUGAUUCAUAUUCGAUUACUAAGUUAGAAGAUUUAACAUGGAGAAUGAAUUUCUUGGUAAAGUUGAGGAUAAUGCGGCAGUCCGUGUAUGGUCAAAGAGGUUACAAUUGGAGAAAGGGGAUAGCCUGGUAGAAGGAUAUACAUCAGAGUUGCAGAAAUUCACUCGCAUCAAUGUAGCGCAGAAUGAGUUGCAAGAAAUUGAAAGAUGUAUGGGCUCGUUAGGAAGAGGGAACCAAACAGUUGUUCUAUCAGAGCUAUGGUGAUAUAGCUUGCUUACUCGAUAUUAAGGUGGACAAGCGUCUGUUCCGAGUUAUGACUCAGUUUUGGAAUUCUGCUUACAAUUGUUUCACUUUUAGGGAAGUGGAUUUGGUGCCUACCGUGGAGGAAUAUACUACCCUGCUGAGGUGUCCAAAGGUUCAAGUUAGAAAAGCUUAUGUUAAGGUUUUCAAUGGUCCAACUUUUGCAAAGAAAUUGAUGACUAUUUCGGGGAUAAGCGAGCCUUGGGUCACUACUCGAAAUCAACAAAAGGGGAUAGUAAGUGUAUUCCUUGGGAGAAUUUGAGAGAUUUGGUUUUAACACACCCGGAUAAGAUGAAGAGGAUCGAUAUCUUCGCUUUAAGCAUAUAUGGAUUGGUGAUUUUUCCUAAGGCUUUGAGGCAUGUGGAUGAGGCAGUCACUGGCUUAUUCGACCGUCUUGAGAAGGGAAUCACACCUGUACCCGCAAUAUUGGCUGAGACGUUCAGAUCCUUGAGUAUGUGUCGAAAGACAGGCGAAGGGCGGUUUAUUAGAUGUGCACGGCUGUUGAUAGUGUGGUUUUCAUGGGCAUUUUUGGAAAGUGAACAAGGUUUCUUACCGGGUCUUUUCUGAAAGUUAUUCCCCGUUAAAGGAGGAGGCAACCAUGCAGAGAAGAGAUGAUAUUUCAGAGGAAAAAUGGAUGGAAAUUCUUUAAAAUCUCAAGGAAGAGGAUAUAGAGUGGAGAGCCUUUUGGAUGGUUCCCGAUGAGAUCCUAUAUCGAUGCAGGAAUUUUGAUUGGGUACCAUUGCCAGGAAUUUGGGGAGCUACUGGGUAUACUUCAUUACUUGCAUUAAGGCAAUAUAAAUCGAGACAAUUUGUACCCACGACUUACGGGCUUGCUCAGUGUGAAUUCUCCUAUAAAGGCGACCACUAUAAGAAGAAGGUUUGGAAACAUUUUGAUGCUUGGAAGUAAACCCACUGGAUGAAGAGUUUGGUCGUCGGUUCCAUAGUGACGCCUGAAUAUAAUGGAUGGUUUAGGAAAAGGGUCAAUGACAAUAUUCCUAGGCCAAGUUUAGAAGAUACCCGACCUGUAGAGGAACGAUUACAAGUUGCCCAUUCAGAGUUAGAAAUUAUAAAAUAGGAUUUUGAAAAGAAGAGUGUUGAGCUUGGGAAAAGGAUCGAGCAGUUAGAGGAAGAAAAGAUGCAUCUGAGAUUAGACAUAGAUGUUUAGAGGUCAGAAGCUGAGAAGUGGAGAAAAGGGAAAAGUAAGGCCGAAGAGGACCUGGACAGUUUGAAGAUAGAUUAUAAAAAAUUACGCCUAUCUAUGAGGACUGCUGGGCUAGGUAAAACAUUAGAACAAUGGCGCCAGGAAAUUCGAGAGGAAAAGACCAAAGCCGACCGAUGGGAAAGGAAAUUCCGAGAAGCUUAGGUACGAAAUAAGGAUUUAGAGAAGAGCCUGUCAGAAAGCAAAAAUGAACGAGAUGAAUUAAGGGCUAGAGUGGCAGAACUGGAGAAAUCUCUUCAUCUGUAUUGAAGUCGUAAUACUAUAGUGGAACUGAGAGCAAGCCUGGAUAAGGUAGAAGAAAUAAAAGGUAAAAUUGAAGAAUUAAAAGCGUCAUUACAAAGAUGUGAGAUGUGGAUUGAGUUUUUCGAAGCAAGUGAGGAGCGUUGGAAGGAACAACUUCACCAUUCGCAAGACCAAGUCAGAAACAGGGAUUACAUUAUGGGAGAAGCCAUAACCCAUAUUCGGGAGGUAGUCAAUUACUUGCAAGCUUUGGCAGUACAAGCAGACAUACUAAGCGUGAAGUAAGAAUUGGAGUUGGAUCGGGGGCAGAGGCUAGCCUCGUUGUUUAGGAAAAUUAAGGCUCUGAGCAUUAGGGCGAAGUCUUAUUUGUAACUCAGUUUUAUAUAAAGAUUUUUAUUUUCUAGUAAAGUUUUCUAAAUGGAAUUGAAUCAAAAUUGAUGCCUCCUUUGCAUUCAUGCAUUUGCAUUACAUUACAUCAUAUGCAUUAAAGGCCAUAAAAAUAUUCUAAUUAAUAAAAAAUGUUUUAGUAAUCUAGAAACCAACAAAAAUCUCUCAAGUACACAUCCCUACGGUACAAGAAGAAAAAUUAAAGCAAUGGAUAAAAAGCUAGAAAAACUGGAACAAAUGCAGAAAGAGAUGCAGGAGAAGAUGCAAGGACAAGUGCAAGAACAGUUAGCUAAAAUCCAGCAGGAAAUGAGGGACGAAAUGCUGGAAUCACAAAGAAAUAUGAUGGAAGAGUUAACCCGAUUACUGACUGGUAGGACGGACAAAGGAAAGGGCCCUAUGACCAAUAUUGGAAAUAACAAUGAAGAUUCCCUUUACCCCCUGGUUUUACCCCGGGAAAUGCUCAAACGCAACAUGAGAUAUAUACGCAGAGACCAUCCAUUACUGAGGAUCCUCUCUAACCCCUGGUUUCACCCCGAUGAAUGCUCAAACGCAACCUGAGCUACACAGGCGAAGGCCGUCCAUUACAAUCAGGCCCCAACAAUUCCAGGCCGAUACUUCAAUGCCGAUGAACUAUCAGGCUGGCUCAGGCUCUAAUCUGGGGGAUAACCCGACUAACCCCGUUGUCCCCGAUCUUGAUGAUGUGAUAGAAGCAAAAAAGAUAAGGGUAGAGCUUUCAAAAGAACUCGAAGAACGGUGUAGAUGGUUGGUAGAAAAAUUUAAAGAAAUAGAAAACGCCGACUAUCGUGGUGGAAUCGAUGCUAAGGAAUUAAGUUUGGUUCCAGACUUGGUGCUUCCCCCCAAGUUUAAAACUCUAAAAUUUGAAAAAUAUAACGGGACUAGCUGUCCCGAAGCUCACAUCACCAUGUUCUGUAGACGAAUGGCAGGCUAUGUCAAUAAUGACCAACUAUUGAUUCACUAUUUCCAAGAAAGUCUGGUUGGGGUAGCAUCUAAAUGGUACAACCAACUAAGUCGUACCCUGAUCAAUUCAUGGAGGGAUCUAGCACAGGCUUUCAUGAAGCAGUACAGUCACGUGACGGAUAUGGCCCCUGAUAGAAUCACAUUACAAAACAUGGAGAAGAAACAAAAUGAGAUCUUCAGGUAGUACGCCCAAAGAUGGAGAGAGAUGGCGACGUAAGUCCAACCUCCUCUUCUGGAGAAAGAAACGACCAUGCUCUUUAUCAAUACGUUGAAGGCUCUAUUCAUCAACCACAUGUUAGGGAGUGCUACUAAAAGUUUCUCAGACAUAGUAAUGUCUGGAGAGAUGAUAGAAAAUGCGAUAAGAUGUGGGAAGAUUGACGCAGGGGAAAGUGCUAAUAAGUCAGCUUCGAGAAGGAAAGGAAAUGAGGUGAAUAAUACGAGCGUGUUUAAUAAGCCAGUCAUCGUGAGCCAACCGAGGACGGUGACUUCCAGCCAUCAGGGCUCCGCAAGACAAGACUUCAACCCAAGGCCUAACACAGAAAGAGUCCAGUUUACGCCUAUACCGAUGUCCUAUAGGGAAUUGUAUCAGAGCUUAUUCGAUGCCCAUGUGGUGUCACCCUUCUAUCUAAAGCUAAUGCAACCCCCAUUCCCCAAAUGGUAUUAUGCAAGCGCCCAAUGCGAAUACCAUGCGGGAGCCACAGGACACUCGAUAGAAAAUUGCACCACUUUCAAGAAACUGGUUGAAAGACUUAUCAACAUAGGCAUUGUGAAAUUUGAUGAUACAUCUAGUACAGAGAAUUAAUUACCUAACCAUGGAAUAAGGGGAUAAAUGCGAUAAUCGAGAGUUUAAGGAAAAAAUUAAGAUGAAUAUCGCAGAAGUGAAUACCCCGCUGAAAGAAGUAUGGAAGAAAAUAGUGGAAAGAGGGUUGAUGACACAAAAUUUAAGGGAUAGACACCGAGAAGCAAAGAAUUAUUACGAGUUCCAUAAUCAAGAGGACAAUGAGAUUUAGAAAUGCAGUGAAUUCAGGGCUCUAGUACAAGGAUUGAUGGAUAAUAAGGAGUUAGAAUUCUUCGAGUAUGUCGGGAACCUAGAAGGAACAGACGUGUGUGCCUCAGAAGAGAGGUCGACGAAGAAUGCUUAUGAAGUCAACCACCCAAUGGUUAUCAUAUCACGUCUGAGAAUUAAUGAAGCCAAGGCACAAGUUACACCAAAAGUCGUGAUCCAAAAGCCCGUUGCUUUCCCUUAUAAAGAUAGCAGAAGGGUACCUUGGAAUUAUAGCUGCAAUGUGACAAUCCCAGGGGAAGAGAGCCUGGCUAGUGCUUCAAAGAAGAACCAAGAUAUAGGUUUCUAUACACGAAGUGGGAGACGUUAUGAUCCUGCGGGUACAAAAACUGAAACCGUUAAAGAAAAGGCCCUAAUAGUUGAGCAAAGAAAGGAGAAGACGGUCAGGUUCGAAUCGCCAGUCAAUGAGUCAGUAACCAAGAAUGAAGCUAGGGAAUUCUUAAAAUUUUUAAAGCUAGUGAGUACAGCGUUGUUGAAUAGCUACACAAGUAACCGGCUCGCAUCUCAGUGCUAGCCUUACUUUUGAGCUUAGAGACGAAUCGGAGCGCGUUAAUGAAAGUGCUAAACGAGACUUAUGUCGCGAAUGACAUCUCUGUGAACAAACUGGAUCAUCUAGUCAACAACAUCAGCACCGAUAAUUUUAUUUUCUUUAACGAUGAUGAAAUACCACCGGGAGGUAUGGGGUCCACAAAGGCUCUGCACAUUACCACAAGUUGCAAGGGAUACACAUUGCCGGGGGUAUUGAUUGAUAGUGGAUUGGCACUAAACGUCCUACCCUUAUCCACAUUGAAUAGGUUGCCUGUGGAUAGUUCCCAUAUGAAAACAGGCAAAAAUGUAGUAAUGGCGUUUGAUGGUACCGAAAAGAAAGAAUAGGGAGGAUCAAAAUACCCCUUCUAAUCGGCCCUAGCACGUAUGAGGUAGAUUUCUUGGUAAUAGACAUCAAGCCCUCUUAUGAUUGCUUAUUGGGAAGGCCAUGGAUUCACUUAGCGGAGGCAGUGCCGUCAUCGUUACAUCAAAAGCUCAAAUUUAUAACGGAAGGUCGAUUGAUGACCAUACAUGUGGAAGAAGAUAUCAUUACAUCCGUUAUCAGCAAUGCUCCAUAUGUAGGGACAGAUGAUGAAGCCAUAGAAUAUUUUUUUCGAUUGUUAGAAUUUGUAAAUGCGAUCUUUGUUGUCGAAGGAAAUAAGGUCCCGAUGCCCAAAAUCUUUAAAACUACAAGAAUGGGCCUACAACUGACGGUUAGGAAGGGAGCUUUGCCAAGGAAAGGGCUUGGAAGAAGCCUACAAGGAAAGGUCGAGGCACCUAUGCUCAUGGACAAACGAGACCGCUUUGGCUUAGGAUUCAAGUCAGAUGUAAAAAAAAAUAAAAAGGAGCAAGAGAAGAAACAAGAAAGGAGAAGAGCGCGUUUAAGCGGGGAAGAGGUUAGGUGGGAGCCGAUGACCUUGCCUCACAUAUCCAGAACAUUCGUGUCGGGAGGGACUAUUUACUCCGAAGGAAGAUCGAUAAGGAAAGGGUCUGCCGAAGAAAUAUUGGAAAACUUAAGCGUUAACACCAUAUACGAAGAAUGAACUGGAGUAGAUAAUUUGUCGGGCAUUCGCCCUUAUGAGCCGGAAAGUGUUCUGAAUAAUUGGACUGCGGAAGAGAUUCUUGUAGUCUUUAGAACUAACACAGAGUAAUGCCCAAAACACACCUAUCAAUCUAGGCCUAGGAGUAAUAAGUGUUCUUUUGUGAAAUAAGCUUAUGUUCAAAAUCGUUAUUUCAAUGAAAUGCAUCCUUUUGUCUUAUUCCGUAUAAAUAUUCUUUUAUUCUUUCAUUCAUAAUCAUACCAUACACAUCAUUGUUCUUAGAUUCUUUUGUUUUUUGUAUCUUCCUUCACACCUACGAUAGGUCUCCAGAUAUCAACGAUAUAAGUGACGUUGCUACUAACUCAGAGUCUCCUUUUGAGCGGGAUAUGUGUCUAGAGGGACCUCAGGACUUUGAAGAUAACAGAGACUGUAACUUAUCCUCUGAUUUGUUAAGGAUGGUAGAACAAUAAGAGAAAUAGAUUCUACCUCACAAAGAGUCAGUAGAAGUCGUGAACUUGGGAGAUGAACUAGAAAGGAAAGAAGUAAAUAUCGGAGCUUGCAUUAACAUAGAAACAAAGCGAAAACUUAUUGAGUUACUCCAAGAGUUCAAGGAUGUCUUUGCAUGUUCGUAUAAGAUAUGCCUGGGCUAAGUACUAACGUUGUGGUACACAGGCUCCCCAUUAAAGAAGAAUGCAAGCCAGUUCAACAGAAGCUCAGAAGGAUGAGGCUGGAUGUUUUGUUGAAAAUAAAAGAGGAGGUCUAGAAGCAAUUCAAUGCUGGUUUCUUACAAGUAGUUAAGUACUCGGAAUGGGUAGCUAAUAUCGUCCCCGCCCCUAAAAAAGAUAGAAAAGUACGGAUGUGUGUAGACUACAGAGAUUUAAAUAAAGCCAACCUGAAGGAUAAUUUCCCCUUGCCUCAUAUUGACACCUUAGUGGAGAACACGGCAAGUUACUCACUAUUCUCCUUCAUGGAUGGUUUCUCAGGGUACAACCAGAUCAAGAUGCAUCCUGAAGAUAUGAAUAAAACCACAUUUGUAACCAUGUGGGCAACCUUUUGCUAUAAGGUGAUGCCUUUCGGAUUGAAAAAUAUGGGAGCAACAUAUCAAAGAGCCAUUGUAAAAUUGUUCCAUGAUAUGAUGCACAAAAAAAUUGAAGUCUAUGUCGAUGAUAUGAUCGCUAAAUCCCAGAAAGAAGAAGAGCAUGUACGAGUCUUGAGGAAAUUAUUUUUGAGGUUGAGGAAUUUCAACUAAAACUCAAUCCAACAAAAUGUACCUUUGAGGCAAGGUCAGGGAAACUGCUAGGAUUCGUAGUCAGUGAAAAGGGGAUUGAGAUCGACCCAGAUAAAGUCAAAGCUAUAUAAGAGUUACCUCCGUCGCAUACUCAAAAAGAAGUUCGAGGAUUCUUAAAGAGACUGAAUUACAUCACUCGGUUCAUUUCACAAUUAAUCGAGAAAUAUGACCCCAUAUUUCAUCUCCUUAAGAAACAUAACCCUGGUGUUUGGGACGAGGAGUGCCAGAAGACUUUUUACAAGGUUAAGCAAUAUUUGUCCAAUGCCCCAGUAUUGACACCACCUAGUCCAAAUAAGCCACUGAUACUGUAUUUGGUGGCAUUUGAGAAUUCUAUGGGAUGUGUACUUGGCUAACGCGAUGAGUUAGGAAGGAAAGAAAGAGCAAUAUAUUACCUCAGUAAGAAGUUCACUGAGUCUGAGAGGAGAUACUCGCCAAUUGAAAAGUUGUGUUGUGCCUUAAUUUGGACAACCCGAAGACUGAGACAAUACAUGUUGUACCAUACAACUUGGCUGAUUUCUAAACUAGAUCCUCUGAAGUACUUGAUGGAGUCAACUGCUUUGAAUAGGAGAAUGGCCCGAUGGAAAAUUCUACUUUCCGAAUUUGAUAUCGUCUAUGUAAACCAGAAAGCUAUAAAAGGAAGUGCAAUAGCAGAUUUUAUAGCUAGUAGAGCUCUAGAAGACUACGAGCCUCUGAACUUUAAUUUUCCAAAUGAAGAUCUGAUGUACGUGGCAACCACUAAAAAAGACCCACACGAAGGUCAUCCUUGGAAGCUAAACUUCGACGGAGCAUCAAAUGUUGUAGGUAACGAAAUCGAGGCAAUCUUGGUAUCCCCAAAUGGAGAUCAUUAUCCCUUCACUAGUAAACUGGAUUUUGACUGCACGAACAAUCUGGCAGAAUACAAUGGAUGCAUCAUGGGUAUCCACGCAGCCAUAGAACGCAAGAUUAAAGCACUAAAAGUAUAUAUAGAUUCUGCGUUAGUGAUUUAUCAACUCAAAGGUGAAUGGGAGACGAGAGAUCCUAAGUUGAUCAAUUGCCGAAGUCUGGUCCUUGAAUUAAUUAAAGAAUUUGAUGAUAUCAUCUUCUACUACCUCAUUCGAGAACAAAAUCAAAUGGCUGAAGCCUUAGCAACUUUAGCUUCCAUGAUCAAGGUGAACAAACAAGAGGAUGUGAAACCGAUCCAAAUGAGUAUUUAUGAGGCUCCAGCUCAUUGUUACAUCCUCGAAGAAGAAGCAGAAAAUGAUGAUCACCCUUGGUACCACGAUAUCCUGCGGUAUGUGAAGAAUCGCGAGUACCCCGACCAAGCUACUCAGAACGACAAAAGAACGUUGAGAAGACUGGCCAGUGACUAUGUCUUGGACGGGGAGAUCCUAUACAAAAGAAGGAAGGAUCAGGUAUUGUUAAGAUGUGUAGACGCUAUUGAGGCUAAGAAAAUCUUGGAAGAAGUCCAUGAGGGCGUCUGUGGGACACACGCUAAUAGCUUUACAAUGGCAAGGCAAAUUAUGAGGUUUGGUUAUUAUUGGUCCACUAUAGAAGGAGACUUUAUUAACUACGCCAAAAGAUGUCAUAAGUGCCAAAUCUAUGGAGACAAGAUUAAUGUGCCUCAUUCACCUCUGCAUGUUAUGACUUCUCCAUGGCCUUUCUUGAUGUGGAGCAUGGAUGUGAUUGGGCCAAUUUCACCAAAAGCUUCAAAUGGGCAUCGAUUCAUCUUUGUGGUCAUCGAUUAUUUCACCAAGUGGGUGGAGGCCGCUUCAUAUGCCAAUGUUACAAAAUCGGCAGUUAGCAAGUUCCUGAAAAAGAAAAUUAUCUGUCGAUAUAGAAUGCCAGAAAAGAUCAUAUCUGACAAUGCAUUGAAUUUGAACAACAGUACAAUAGUAGAGGUCUCUAGUCAGUUCAAGAUCAGACACCACAACUCAUCACCAUAUCGCCCUAAGAUGAACGGUGCAGUCAAAGUAACCAAUAAGAACAUCAAGAAGAUUGUGGGAAAGAUGACUGAAACUUAUAAAGAUUGGCAUGAGAAGUUAUCGUUCGCCCUUUAUGCUUAUCGAACGUCCAUCAGAACCUCUACUGGGGCAACGCCUUUCUCAUUAGUCUAUGGAAUAGAGGCGAUUCUACCUAUCGAGGUUGAGAUUCCUUCCCUCCGAGCUUUGUCUGAGGUAAAGCUGGAUGAGGCAGAAUGGAUCUAGUCCCGAUACGAUUAGUUGAAUUUGAUUGAAGAAAAGAGGCUAAGGGCUAUCCGUCAUGGUCAAAUGUACCAAAAACGGAUGAUGCAAGCUUACAACAAAAAGGUUUGUCCUAGAGAAUUCCACGAAGGAGACCUAGUAUUAAAAAAGAUCCUGCCUAUACAAAAUGACUUCAGAGGAAAAUGGAUGCCGAAUUGGGAAGGACCUUAUGUGGUGAAGAAGGCUUUUUUUGGAAGAGUGUUGAUAUUGACCGAAAUGGAUGGCAAGACUUUACCCAAUCCUGUAAAUUCAGAUUCGGUUAAGAAAUACUUCGCCUAAAAAAAAAAGGGAGAGGCCAAGGUGAAAACUCACAAAGAGCACCUUGAGACCAAAUGGAUUUUAAAUUGAAAACCCGUAAAGGGUGAUUCAAACUUUGAUCAAAGGUGGGGCAUGCGGUACUCUUGCAAUAUCUGAAUUAGCAAGGAGGAGAGAUGUUACAUAUUGGGGCAUCAAUAAGAGUACUUUAAGUUCCUUAAACAUAUAUUGGGCUCAAAAAGGGGGUCCUCAAGAAGUUCGUACAGAGAAGCUCAUGCUACGAUAUAUGGGGCACUUAUUUUCCUUUUAUUUAUUUUUUAUUCCAGCAAUAUUUUUUUCUGUGAUUAAUCUAUUCCUUUCAAAUUUUGUUUCUGAUAAAUUUUAUUUCUAUCCAUUGUUACGAUCUUUCUCAAGCAUUCUGUAUUGAAAUAACGAUUAAUGGACUAAUGACACUUUCGCAAAAGGAGUUCUGUAUAUCACUCUGAAAGUUUCUAAAUAGUACAAGAACCUGACACAGGACUAUUAAUUAGAACUAAUAAAACCUAAUGAUUGGAGAUAUUUGAGAAAGAAGAGUUUAAUUUGGGACUACUUCUUUGGGUUUUUGGUAUAAAAUCUAAGCUGAACAAGAAGAUAUGAUACUGUUUCAGUGACAGAACCUUGAUGAACAAAGAGCAAUGACAACCCAAACAUUAAAAAUGAUCAUUCUCAUAACAUGCUGCACUCAUGCAUUUAUAAAUCAUUCAUGGCACACCUAGUUAGGAGUACUCUGAUUCAUUUCGAUUAUAACAUCCUAAUUAUUUGGCAUAAGCAUAGAUACAUGGAACCGAUUCUAUAGGUCAUGUCCCUAGAUUGGUGAAUUCACGGGCCUUAACCCUCUAAGCAGUAGGGUUGGAAAUUUAGAUCUUGUCUCCCUAAGCAGUAGUGGAGCAGAUCGAAGACGACGAGCCUUAACCCCCUAAGCAGUAGGGUAACAGGCUGAAUUUACAAGAUCUUAUCACCCUAAGCAGUAGGGGAACAAAUCGAAGAUGAUGGGUCUUAACCCCCUAAGCAGUAGGUAACAGGCUGAAGAUUAUAGAUCUUGUCUCCCUAAGCAUUAGUGGAGCAAAUCGAAGACGAUGGGCCUUAACCCCCUAAGCAGUAGGGUAACAGGCUAAAAAUUAUAGAUCUUAUCACCCUAAGUAGUAGAGGAACAGAUCGAAGAUGAUGGCCCUUAACCCCCUAAGUAGUAGGGUAAUAGGCUGAAUUCACAGAUCUUAUCACCCUAAGCAGUAGGGGAAUAGAUCGAAGAUGAUGGGCCUUAACCUCCUAAGCAGUAAGGUAAUAGGCUGAAAAUUACAGAUCUUAUCACCCUAAGCAGGAGGGGAACAGAUCGAAGAUGACUGGCCUUAACUCCCUAAGCAGUAGAGUAACAGGCUGAAAAUUACAAAUCUCAUCUCCCUGAAAUGGCGUUGGAGCGACUAGAAGCCACAGCAUAUCUUCUUGAAGUUUCAGCGGAGUAGAUUGAAGUCACAAGUCUUAUCUCCCUGAAAUUGCAGUGGAGCAGACUGAAGAUAGCGAAUCUUAUUUCCAAAAAGAUGCAGUGGACUAGAGUGAAGCUACUGAAGAAGAGGAGCACCAAAGAAGUCAAAACUCGGUGAGACUGGACAAAAUAGGUCUUUCUUAAAAGUCUUUGCUCUGUUCUUGUUACAUGACAAUGAACAAAGAGGGGCAGCUGUACAAUCCCAAUUCUACCCGGGCCUCAAAAGUCCAAUACACCCAAUUCACACCCAAACCCAACAAGCCCAAAUCAGACAAAAAAAAACAAAACAAAAAAAAACCAAUUAAAAUUACAGCCCAAAAACAAAUUGAAGGCUCGAUGCCCCAAAAUGUUAAACACUUUCAGAAAAAACCUAAUCUCCCUAACCCUAGGUGCGCCACACCUAGGUCUUCAACCACCCUCUGCCACCGCUCCUCUGACACCACCAACUCCUCUGCCAUCGCCGUUGACCCCCUAGGCCUGCAAAACAGAAAUAAAAAAAGAAACCAAAGAAGCAUAAAACAAAGCAAAAACAGUAGCAAAUAGUAUACUAAAGUUAU